rnacentral:misc_RNA from 1 species
AUCUUGUGAGCACCUUUACGAUACGGAAUCCUAGUCGCCGUUUUAUCCACACAAGUUUUGAUGCCGCUUAGUGGAAAGGAGACUUAUUAUGACAUGUGGAUGCGUGGAAUUUCACUUGAAACUUUAAAAGUAGUUCCUACAUGUGAAGACUCGUUAGCCCUUCAAACACUGAUGUUUCACCCGCUGAAAUACGAUCUGAAUAAAUAAAAAGAGUU